GAGAGAGAGAGAGAGAGAGAGAGAGAGAACUCUGCUUUUCUGUCCUAAAUUAGAGAAGGACAGAGUGACCAGCUACCAUCUCCUGCUUCAGCUUCUAAGCUCUUCAUAUGCUCUGGAGUGUUCAAGCCUGAGGAGGAAGCAGCAGAGCCAACUGGGCUCCUCUGGGAGGCAGACACCAUCCUCUCCCUUCCUUCUGAUGGUGGUGGGCUCUUACCAGGACCACUUAAUGGAGCCUUCAGCAUCUCAUACCCCAGUGCUGGCCUCACAGAUGUUCACCACCAUCCCUCGUUUAUGCCCUGCUGCAAGUGGACCCAAGGAUCUGCGUGUGUCAUCCAGCCCCAACUGAGCUGAGCCUCAUCUCCACGCUACGCUCUGGUUUCUUUGCUCUCCGUGAAUCCAGUCAUAAUUUCAUUACUGUGUGCCAGCCACCUUACAGUAUUCAGCAUGCAGAACCUAUGGCAUGACAGGAACAAACACAGGAGAUGGUUUCAGACAGUCAAGGCCUUAGGACAGAGCAACUGACCGGUAAGAUGACAACAUGGAGGAGUCAUGAGAGAAGGUAUCCAUGGAGCAAAGACAUCAAAAGAUGGAGAACCAGAUGGACACCCGCAGGCACAGGGCUGUGUCACUCUGAUAAUCUCUCAUAAACCCCCCCAGUGCUUGAAGAAAUAAA